rnacentral:rRNA from 1 species
CUGCAGUGCCAAAGCUAACGCAUUAAGUACCCCGCCUGGGGAGUACGGCCGCAAGGCUAAAACUCAAAGGAAUUGACGGGGGCCGCACAAGCGGUGGAGCAUGUGGUUUAAUUCGACGCAACGCGAAGAACCUUACCUGGGCUUGACAUCCCGAUCGUACCUUUUGGAAACAUUAGGGUCAGCUUGGCUGGAUCGGUGACAGGUGCUGCAUGGCUGUCGUCAGCUCGUGUCGUGAGAUGUUGGGUUAAGUCCCGCAACGAGCGCAACCCUUGUCCUUAGUUGCCAUCAUUCAGUUGGGCACUCUAAGGAGACUGCCGGUGUUAAACCGGAGGAGGGUGGGGACGACGUCAAGUCAUCAUGGCCCUUAUGUCCAGGGCUACACACGUGCUACAAUGGCCGGUACAAAGGGCAGCAAUACCGCGAGGUGGAGCGAAUCCCAAAAAGCCGGUCUCAGUUCGGAUUGGAGUCUGCAACUCGACUCCAUGAAGUUGGAAUCGCUAGUAAUCGCGUAUCAGCGUGACGCGGUGAAUACGUUCCCGGGCCUUGUACACACCGCCCGUCACACCACGGGAGUUGAUUGUACCUGAAGCGGUGGCUUAC